CUCUCUCUCGAUCUCUCUUCCCACUCUCCCUCUCUCUUUCUCUCUCUCCAUCCACGCUCUUGUUGCCGAAGCCCUACCCACGCACGCCCUCUCUCUCUCUCUCUCUCUGAAGCUCGGUUGAGGUCACAGAUAUCUGAUGUGGCUAAUGAGGAAGUCUACAAGCUGGAUAAAAAGUUCAGGAAAGCAAGUCAUGUUUGAGUUCGUGUUCUUGGCUUUAGGCAUCUAGAAGGAUUGGCAAUGGAUGUUAUCUUUAUGUUUUAUUUUUUAUAAUAAUUAAUUUUUCUAUCACUUUCCAUGUAGUAUAUGACCUGUUGAUCUGCUCGGGGCAUUUUUUUC